rnacentral:misc_RNA from 1 species
CCUAACCCAUUUGGGAGGGGGAUGCCGAAGGCAGGGUUGGUGACUGGGGUGAAGUCGUAACAAGGUAGCCGUACCGGAAGGUGUGGCUGGAUCACCUCCUUUUUAGGGAGACCUACUUGCCGGAUUUGACCCAACCCAAAUUCUUAGGUCACAGGCAAGUUAUCCCAGGUCGGUCGAGGUAAAAAAGAAAGCUUUCAAACUUAGGUUUGGUUCGGAAUACGGG